rnacentral:rRNA from 1 species
AACGAACGCUGGCGGCAUGCCUAACACAUGCAAGUCGAACGAGACCUUCGGGUAUAGUGGCGCACGGGUGCGUAACGCGUGGGAACCUGCCCUUAGGUUCGGAAUAACUACCCGAAAGGGGUGCUAAUACCGGAUAAUGUCUUCGGACCAAAGAUUUAUCGCCUUUGGAUGGGCCCGCGUUGGAUUAGCUAGUUGGUAGGGUAAAAGCCUACCAAGGCGACGAUCCAUAGCUGGUCUGAGAGGAUGAUCAGCCACACUGGGACUGAGACACGGCCCAGACUCCUACGGGAGGCAGCAGUGGGGAAUAUUGGACAAUGGGCGAAAGCCUGAUCCAGCAAUGCCGCGUGAGUUAUGAAGGCCUUAGGGUUGUAAAGCUCUUUUUCCCGGGAUGAUAAUGACAGUACCGGGAGAAUAAGCACCGGCUAACUCCGUG